rnacentral:rRNA from 1 species
CACGCAUCAUCAAUUCGCUGGACGUACCACGACUCAUUGCGCCCAAUCUCACGCCCGUUGCCCCAUCGCCAAGCCUUCCUCGGCGUUAUCGCCGUCGCCGUCGUCUCGCCGGCGUCGGCCGCUGGGAGGAGAUGGCGUCGUCGCUGGACGCGCCCAACCUCGACGAUUACCUCACCGCGGACUCGCUCCCGCAGGAACCCCCGAGGAGUCUCACCCUGCGCGAUCUGCUGGACAUCUCGCCAGUGCUCACCGAGGCCGCGGGCGCCAUCGUCGAUGAUUCAUUCACACGUUGCUUUAAGUCAAAUUCUCCGGAGCCAUGGAACUGGAACAUCUAUUUGUUCCCAUUAUGGUGCUUGGGAGCAGUCAUAAGAUAUGGACUACUGUUUCCGCUAAGGUUCUUAACACUUAUACUAGGAUGGAUGGCCUUCUUUACUGCCUUUUUUCCUGUGCGUUUCCUAAUGAACGGGAAAAAUAGGCUAAAAAGUAAAAUAGAGAGAAAGCUGGUUGAAAUGAUGUGCAGUGUUUUUGUUGCUUCUUGGACUGGAGUGAUCAAGUACCAUGGACCACGCCCAAGCUCACGCCCUUAUCAGGUAUUUGUUGCAAACCAUACAUCGAUGAUAGAUUUUAUUAUUCUGGAGCAGAUGACAGCAUUUGCUGUCAUCAUGCAAAAGCAUCCUGGAUGGGUUGGAUUUAUUCAGAAGACUAUUCUGGAAAGUGUGGGUUGCAUCUGGUUUAACCGUAAUGAUCUCAAGGAUCGUGAAGUAGUUGGAAGAAAGUUACGUGAUCAUGUUCAGCAUCCAGACAACAAUCCUCUCUUGAUUUUCCCAGAAGGAACUUGUGUUAAUAAUCAGUACACUGUGAUGUUCAAGAAGGGUGCUUUUGAGCUUGGCUGUGCUGUAUGUCCAAUAGCUAUCAAAUAUAAUAAAAUAUUUGUUGACGCCUUCUGGAAUAGUAAGAAGCAAUCUUUUACAAUGCAUUUGGUUCGUCUUAUGACAUCAUGGGCUGUUGUUUGUGAUGUUUGGUUCUUGGAACCUCAGUAUCUCAGGGAAGGGGAGACAGCGAUAGAAUUUACUGAAAGAGUGAGGGAUAUGAUAGCUGCUCGGGCUGGUCUUAAGAAGGUUCCAUGGGAUGGCUAUCUGAAACAUAACCGCCCUAGCCCCAAACAUACCGAGGAAAAGCAGCGCAUGUUUGCUGAAUCUGUGCUGAGGAGACUAGAGGAAAACUAAAUAGCUAUCAAUCAACUCAGGCUCUCCUGGUUAGUUGAGGGAUUUCCCCUUAGUUGCCUUGUAAUCUGUUAAUCACCCAAGUGAGACCUGGGACAUGUGGAAAUGACCACCGCAGUUUUGCUGUAAAUUUGUUUGCAGUUUGACAGAAUCAGUAGCAUGUGCUUGGCAAGAAAGAACUAUUGAAUCAACCUUGCUAUACAUACGACACUGCUUGUCCGAUUUGUGUACGACGCAUUAGAUCAAGCCGUUGAUGCGCUGAACAAAACUGCAGUGGACAUCAGAUUUUGCGUGGUACACAAAUUGAACCAUGAAGCAUUGUACGCAUAGUGGUUCCGCUAUUGAAUGGAUGCGUGCCUAUAGAUCUUUUAAUAUCUUAUGAUUGGUUAGUGUUAACACGUAAGCAUUGGUGUUCUUAUCAGUAGAUGCUGUAUUGGUAUUUGACCUCUGUUUCAUGUGGACAGUCAGUCCUGAUCAUUCUUAUAUCCUUAAUCAUGUGAUUAUUUGUUUGAUGUUCUGUGUAAAUGCGAGAGAUACAACUGGAUUGCAUCUC